AUGUUUUUUCUCCUCAUCUUUACACAUAGUUAUAAAUCUGUUAUGUAGUUUAAUUCAAUUAAAUCGUUAAACAGCGCUUCAGCUAUACGUUUUAAAGAGGAGACAGCUAACUAGCGCUUAGCCCUAAGAUGAAAUCUACCGAAAAUGAUUGAAGCUGUGAUGUAGAGAGUAGAAACUUCUUUUGAGUAAAAUCUAACAUGUUAAAGUUCAAGGCUCAAGGUUUACUUCUUCCUGUGGACCUUUUUAUUUUUACACCCAUUUCCCCACAAAAAUGUUAGCUUUCUAAAUAGCCAACAUAAUUAAACUAAACCAUGGACACCUGGGGCAAAUCAAAGACAUCCUCACACAUAACCCAAUACUCAAGCAGGAAGAGCAUGAACCAAAACAAAGUCAUAUGUCCACUUAGAAACCGCGCCGCAGUGCCAUCUGCCGGCCGUGUCGUAACAAUAAUGGCGUUUUUGUUCUAUACUCUUUACGUUAGGUUUAUCGAAAUUGUUUAUUCACACUGCCAGAGGUGUUCAGCCAGGAAUUCUUCAUUCUCAAAAUGCCACUGUGGUUUAAUAAACUGGACAUUGGCCUCUUGCUGGUUUUUGGCAGGUAAAUUAUUGAUUAUGAUAUGCCUGGAACAAUGCUGUUGUUCUGUGCUUUUGAGGUGAAAUCAGUGCACACUUCCUGUGUUGAAGUAUGCCAACCAUCUAUUAUCAUAAAUGUUACAACUGAUUUUUAAAAUAAAUGAUGAUUAUAUGCUUUAUCUUCAUCAUCAGUUUUUUAAAUAGGAAAAGUUGGACAAAUGUAGAAUUGUCCAAUUACUGUAACACUAGUAUAUGCAAAAAGUUGUAAAACCAACUGGUAUGUAUUAAUUGUGUAAGAGUGUGCCUUUUCUGUCAUCUCUAGUGUCACCAUCGUUGCAGCUCCAUUUGUGACACCAGUCAAGCGUAAAUAUUGCUCUUCCAUAGAAGUUACAUGUGUGUUUGAUGGUAGUGGGGGAAAUUGAUGCUUCCUAAAUUUGAAAAUGGCACUGAGGUAUGAUUCAUGCUGGAGGAGAAAAGUUAAGAGCCAGCAAAGUACUUGCAAAAGAUACAGAAGAAAGCUAGACACACGAGGAGUGGAGAAUGCAGUUUCUAGAAUCAAAGUGGAGGCCAGGUGACUAUUGCACCGAAGGAAUACCUUGUCUUCCUGAACAUACUACAUUUACACCAGUUAUGAGUCAGUUCUGAGAUUUUGGCAGGUUUGCUUUGAUACAGCUAAAAUACUGUCUUCCUUGUCUAAAUGGCUGCAUUACAAGAAAGUGAUCAUUUUCUGAAAUUGAAAGACACAUGGAGCUGAGUGAUAUUAAUGAUAGACUCUAACUGAUUAUCAUCCUCGUUACUAAUAAGCUGUUUUCCCAAUGUCUAUGUCCUAUUUAAGAGCAAAUAAUAGUGUUAGAUUAUUGAUGUUGAAAUAUCCAGUGAAAAAUAUUUCGAUUUGCUUUUGUCUGCAUUAUGUAACCCCAAUUUUCACCAUGUAAAUAUCAAAACAUAUUUAAAAUGUCUUGGAAGUUUGUUUUUGUCAUGCACAAGCAUAUCAAAUACAUUACAAUGAGGACCAUG